UACGUAGGGUGCAAGCGUUGUCCGGAAUUACUGGGCGUAAAGGGCUCGUAGGCGGCCAACUAAGUCAGACGUGAAAUCCCUCGGCUUAACCGGGGAACUGCGUCUGAUACUGGAUGGCUUGAGUUUGGGAGAGGGACGCGGAAUUCCAGGUGUAGCGGUGAAAUGCGUAGAUAUCUGGAGGAACACCGGUGGCGAAGGCGGCGUCCUGGACCAACACUGACACUGAGGAGCGAAAGCCAGGGGAGCAAACGGG
rnacentral:rRNA from 1 species